rnacentral:rRNA from 1 species
ACGGAAGGCAGCAGUGGGGGAUAUUGCACAAUGGGGGAAACCCUGAUGCAGCGACGCCGCGUGAGGGAAGAAGGUUUUCGGAUUGUAAACCUCUGUCUUCAGGGACGAUAAUGACGGUACCUGAGGAGGAAGCCACGGCUAACUACGUGCCAGCAGCCGCGGUAAUACGUAGGUGGCGAGCGUUGUCCGGAAUUACUGGGUGUAAAGGGAGCGUAGGCGGGUAUGCAAGUUGAAUGUGAAAUCUAUCGGCUCAACUGAUAGGCUGCGUUCAAAACUGUAUAUCUUGAGUGAAGUAGAGGCAAGCGGAAUUCCUGGUGUAGCGGUGAAAUGCGUAGAUAUCAGGAGGAACACCGGUGGCGAAGGCGGCUUGCUGGGCUUUUACUGACGCUGAGGCUCGAAAGCAUGGGUAGCAAACAGGAUUAGAUACCCUGGUA